UAAACAUAGAGUAAUUCAUCUCCGUCGAACCUCCAUUGAUGUCGUCUUACCUUGUCAAGGUCCACCGAUCUCGUCGUCUAUGUUCUUCGUUUCGACCCAUCACCUCACAAUCGAACCAUAUAUCAUUCGUUUUCUCUCCUUCAAACCCUAAAUUGCUCUUCGUUAUUAACACCUCUAUCAACCAUGUAACAAAAAAAAAACACCUCUAUCAACCACGCUCGAACACCAGAUUUGUCGCCCUCACCCCUUCUUCGAUGCCUUUCGUUGACAGAAAGAAAGAAACUAUCACGCAAAGGAGCUUUUUGCCAACCCCUUCACUGACGAGCUUCUGCCCUCAUACACAGGUGUUGCAAACUAUUUGAUUUUGGAUUUUAGUGUGGUAUCAUCUAUUUGUUUUCAAUCGCUUAGUAUUGUUUAUUUUGAGGUGUCUUCAUUUCAGUUGGAAUGGUUCUUGUAUAAAAAGGGUUGCUCAAAUGCAUCUUCUCCAUAAAUUUGUAGGUUACAUUAUAGGAAACUUGACAUGCUUUGAUAUAUAAAUUAAGAAGUGGUCAAAGUAAUAGGUUCAAGUUCUUUGAAAUUUGGUGGAUGAGAAUUUUCUGCAUUUCCUCAUAGGAUUGAUUGAAAAGGAGCAUUUUUUCCAGUGCGUUUUUAAAUGGUUUCAACCGCACCAAUUGAAGGUAUUUGUUGAUCUUGUUUCCUUUCAUUGUAACUGCUCUUUUGUACAUUUUAUCUUUUAGGCAUCAUUUUCCACUUGAUUAUAUUAUUGGGUUUGAAUUUUUGCUGUUAUAUUUCCUCUGCAUUGUGGUUCUCAAUUUGGAUUUUCAGUUUUUUCUAGUUAAUUUAUAGUGUACUUAUUGUGAAUACUAAAUCAUAAGUAAGAAUCUUGUAUAUAUGUCACUACAAGAAAACAAGGUAUUACUGGCGGCCAAAAGCCCUCAAUAAUGCACAAAUUUCGUCAAAAUUGCAUGCAUUACUGACGGCCAUGGGCCCUCUGCAAUUAGCUCGCCGGUAUUGUUUACUGGCGGCCCAGGACCGUCAAUAACGUUACUGACGGCCUGGAGCCGCCAAUAAUGCCCAACGGUCAAUUCAAAAGGCAUCCUCAUUUGUGACGGCCUGCAGCCGCCAAUAACGGAAUUCGAGGGUGAAUUCCUGGCGGACUGC